CGAAAUUUUCACUAUAUUAUUUUUAACUUCUAAAAAUUAUUUUUCAGGUGAAGAACCCUGAAUAAACUUGAAAGACAAGAAGACCCUAUAGAGUUUUAGUAUAAUAAUUAAACCAAAAUAAUUCUUUAACUUUUGUUGGGGCGACAAAGGAUACUAAAUCAUCCUUUACUUCUAAGAAUAAUAAUUCUUGUUAUUGACCCUUAAACAAGAUAAAAAGAACAAACUACCUUAGGGAUAACAGGCUAAUCUUUUUCUAGAGUUCAUAUCCAAAAAAAGUUUGGCACCUCGAUGUUGGCUUAGAGAUUCUUUUAGCUGCAAAAGGUUAA
rnacentral:rRNA from 1 species